AUGCGCAGAGAGGGACCGGUCCCCUGGAACGAGGGACCGGAACCCGUAGUGUAAGGUACUGAACUUCUAAAAUUAUGAAGUUGCGGGGUAUGUUGGUUUGGAAAGCUAUUAGAAUGAUUCCGGUGAAGUUCGGAAGCAUUCGGGCGUUUUCGGAGCGCGUAGGCGCAAAAACGGGACCCGAAAGGCUAUGUUGGACUAUGGACUAAAUCCGGCAUUAGCGCAGAUGAAAAGAUGAUGAAAAUACGCUCAAAAACAUGUUUGAAGAGUCUCGGUUCGAUUUGAAAGCAAUCGGAGGCCAAACAAGCGAAAACGAACGAAAACGGAAAAGAAACGAAAAUGGCUGAAAUUUGGCUAAGUCUGGAAAUCUGGACCUACGGGGAUGGGUCCCUCGGCCUCCCUCGGCCAAGGACAGGUCCCUCAGGAACCGGUCCCUCAAGCAAGGACCGGUCCUCGUAGCUCGAAAAUGCCCUGCGUGGGCAGUGCAUAAAACACAAAGUUGAGAGGCUGUUUUGCAGUUGUUGCAUGAGUUGGUGUCACGCCUCGAGCCCGAUCUUUUUGGCCGGUUCGAGAGCGUCGAACAGACGCCGAACGGACAGAGCCUCCCCUGACCGCCCAAGGCUCAACAACAAGUAUUAAUAGAGUAUAAAGUUUGCAUAAGCGGAAGCAUACACAAUGGCUUGCACGAGGGCAAGCAAUAGCCAUUAGUGAAAGAAUCUACUAAAUCAUCACACAAGUAUUUGACUAGAUUUAAAUCACAUACAUGCAUUCGACUUUAAUACAACUUUGCAUCAUUUCUUUUAUACAUCACAAAUUCUCCAAAAUAUGAUCCUUUUUCUAUUUACAUAAAUAAAGUCUUCUACAUCAUUCCUUUAACAUGAUCACAAUACUAACAUCAUCAAGUACAAAAGAUGAUAAUAAGGGGUAUGCAACUAUGAAAAUAAAACAUCUCGGGCCGUCUCUACCUAGAGCGCGAUGCCUUUACCGCGAUCGCCUGCCGGCUCGCUCGGUCCCGGCUCUGUAGAAAUAGGGGUGUGAGAACUACAACAAAGUUCCUAGUGGGUUCGGCAACCAACCACGCCGACUAUCCCACUAGGUCUAAUCAGGCAUAAUAGAAUAGAAGAAAGAAAGUAACCAACUAACAAUGCAACUAAUAUGCCUGAACAAUAUAUAAUGCGAUGCUCGAAAUAAUACUCAUGAUGAAUGCAAGAUCAUAAUUUCUUUACCCAAUCUCUUGGCUAACCCGUAGGUUUCGUCCUCAACAAACUCACCACCCAAAAUCCUAUUAACCGGAGAGAUACCCGCUACAACCCGAUAGGACCGUCCUCUGGGGAGAUACCCGCUACAACCCAGUGAUGUCGACUCCGGAGCACAUCGCCCGAGGGGGAGCUACCACCCUCGAGCAAGGACUAAAGGUGAGUACGAUCAAUCCUACAUUGAGGAUUCCAAGUUCAAUCCAUUCCUUAACUUUAAAGAAGACCAUGCUCAAUGACCCUUAACUCUAAGAUUGCAAUGUCAUAAUAUCUCAAUCAUUCUUUUCUUUGCAUUCUUUACCAACACUAGUGUCAUAUACACUACCAAGUUCUUGUACUCAUGCCACACUUGUUUUCUAAGUGCUAUAUUCUUGUUCUCAUGCCAAAUGCCACACUUAUUUUUCUAAGUAUUCUAGACUCAUCAAUGUCACUCGCUAGAUCUAUGUCCAUGUGUCACUUUUGUUCACUAACCCUUCUAGGUUCUUGUCACUUGUCAUCCAUAAAUAGGGUUAUAAUUCUCACAUUCUUACAAGUAUUUCAUACGAAAUUAAACUCACGAUCAUGCAUAAAUAGGGAGAGGUGUGUGUGUGUGAAUGGCUGUAGAGGGAGAGGGGGUUGGGUAUAUAAGGUGUUGUAACAUUUACAACAAGACCCCUCCACUUUAUUCCCUGUGCACUGCCCAAACUGGGCAUUUUUCGCAGUGAGGGACCGGUCUCCCCGACCUGGGACCGGUCCCCGAGAGCUCCGCCCGCGAACUGCGCAGGCUGCGCGCGAUGCAACCGGUCUCCCUCGAUGGGACCGGUCUCUGGGGGACCGGUCUCUGCUCGCAAGGACCGGUUCCCAAGAGCUGAUUUUCCAGGACUUAGCCAAUUUCUCAGCCACCUCGCUGCCUACGCGUUCGGGGACCAGUCUCUCCCACCAGGGACCGGUCCCCGAGAGCACAAAACCCGCAGUGUGCAGAUUUUGAUUUCUAAAGCUCUCGAAGAUCCCCAGUAAUGUAUUUUAGCAUUAUUUGACGCCUUCGGCCUCUCCGAAGUGUACCAACCUCGCACUUUGGUCAAUUUGACCAAGGUUUGAAUUUAAUCACCGAGGUUUCGGUAUGUUACAUUCUCCACCCCUUAAAUUUAGUUUCAUCCGCGAAACUUACUUAAUUUAGACUUAAACUCAUACCUCAAUUCAGCUCGUUAAAGAGCUGAGGAUAAUGCUCCCGCAUUGCGCUCUCAAGCUCCCAAGUGGCUUCCCGAUCAUCGUGAUUGCACCAACGAAUCUUAACAUACGGAAUCUCGCGAUUUCGUAGUUUUUUUACUUCUCGAUCGAUGAUGUAUGCCGGGAACUCCUCAUAGGUCAUGUCCUCUUGGAUCUCAGACGAUUCAAACGACAAGAUAUGCUCGGGGUCGUGAACGUACUUGCGGAGAUUCGAUACAUGAAACACGUCGUGUACUCCCGCAAGCCUCGGUGGUAAUGCUAUCUUGUACGCCACCGCACCUACCCGCUCCAAUACUUCGAACGGUCCAAGGUAUCGAGGACUUAGCUUUCCACGGAGCCCAAACCAUCUAAUUCCUCGCAUCGGCGAUACUUUUAGAAAGACGUGGUCGCCAACUGCAAACUCUAUGUCUUUUCUCUGCUUGUCGGCAUAGCUCUUUUGCCGGGAUUGCGCCGUAGCCAGCCGCUGGCGGGCGAGGCGAACCUUCUCCUCCGCUUCCCGCACUACAUCGGGGCCGAGAGCUGCUCUCUCACCCACAUUGCUCCAAUGGAUUGGAGAGCAACAUUUCUUUCCAUAAAGGGCCUCGAAUGGCGCCAUCGCGAUACUCUCUUGAUAGCUGUUAUUGUACGCGAACUCCGCCAUUGGUAGAUGAUCGUGCCAACUGCCCUUGUAGUCCAAUACACACGCUCGGAGCAUAUUCUCAAGUAUUUGUAUCGUCCUUUCCGAUUAACCAUCACUUUGAGGAUGAAAUGCUAUGCUAAAGUCGAGCCGUGUGCCCAAGGCCUCCUGUAGGCUUCUCCAAAAAUGAGAUGUGAACCUCGGGUCCCGAUCUGAUACGAUAGACACCAGUACCCCGUGAAGUCUCAUAACCUUGUCGAUGUAUAGUUGAGCCAACUUGUCCCCCGACCAAGUAAUAUGAAUCGGUAGGAAAUGCGCCGACUUCGUCAACCGGUCUACUAUCACCCAAAUUACGUCGUGUCCACCUUGAGAUCGAGGCAAUCCGGUCACGAAGUCCAUUGCGAUAUUUUUCCAUUUCCAAACGGGUAUAGGUAAACUUUGCAACUUCCCCGUCGAAAAACGCCGCUCCGCUUUUACUUGUUGGCAAGUAAGACAUUGCGCAACAAACUCCCCAAUGUCUUUCUUCAUGCCCGGUCACUAAUAAUGCAGUUUCAAAUCUUGGUACAUUUUGGUGCCGCCCGGGUGUAUACUAUAAGGCGAUUGAUGCGCUUCUUGCAUAAUCGCCCUGCGGGUGUCCUUGUUCUUAGGCACGCACCAACGGUUUCUAAACCGGAGUGCACCGUCGGUCCCAAUGCCAAAAUCAUCGGCACUACCGCUCUCAACUUCACCAUGCACCUUUUGGAGAUAAUCAUCGGAAGCUUGCAGCUCUUUUAUCCUCUCCAGCAAGGUCGGUUGCACCACUAACGCGGUAAGUGUAUCUGGCACUCCCGGCUCCACUACUUCCAAUCCAAGCCAUUGCAUCUCCUUUUGUAACAACGGUUAGGGUGUAAUUGCCGAUGCCAAAUUUUCUCCCGAUUUUCUACUAAGUGCAUCGGCCACCACAUUUGCUUUCCCGGGGUGGUAUAGAAUAAUAACAUCAUAGUCUUUCAACAAUUCUAACCACCAUCGCUGCCGUAUAUUUAGCUCCUUUUGGGUGAACAAGUAUUUAAGGCUCUUGUGGUCCGUGUAGAUCUCACAAUGUUCCCCAUAUAGGUAAUGCCUCCAUAAUUUUAGCGCGAAAAUAACCGCCGCUAACUCCAGAUCGUGGAUCGGGUAGUUUUUCUCAUACGUCUUCAAUUGGCGCGAAGCAUACGCUAUAACUCGGCCGUUUUGCAUCAAGACAUACCCGAGUCCUACGUAGAAAGCAUCACUAUAAACCACAAAGGUCUCCCCCGGCGUCGGUAGAGCAAGCACUAGGGUCGUGGUCAAUUUUUCUUUUAGUUCCUCGAAGCUCCGCUCGCAUUCGGGGCUCCAAACAUACUUCACCCCUUUGUGCGUAAGACGCGUUAGUGUAGUAGUUAUUUUAGCAAACCCCUCUACGAACCGCCGGUAAUAGCCCGCUAGCCCAAGGAAACUGCGGACCUCCGAUACGCUCGUUGAUCGAGGCCAAUCUCUAAUUGCCUCAACUUGCUUCGGGUCCACCGAGAUACCAUUGCCCGAAAUUACAUGACCAAGGAAAGUGACCUCCGAUAGCCAAAAGUCGCAUUUCUUCGACUUGGCAUAUAACUUCUCUUUUCGGAGUAUUUCCAACACGGUCCUUAAGUGCUCCUCGUGUUGUUCCUCGGUCCGAGAAUAUACCAAUACGUCGUCAAUGAAUACCACGACGCAACGGUCCAAUAGCGGACGGAAGACCCUAUUCAUUAAGUCCAUAAAUGCCGCCGGGGCGUUAGUAAGCCCAAACGGCAUCACCGUGAACUCAUAAUGGCCAUACCGCGUACAGUACGCCGUCUUGUGCACAUCCUCGGGCCGUAUCUUCAACUGAUGAUACCCCGACUGAAGGUCUAUCUUCGAGUACACCCUCAACCCUUGCAAUUGAUCGAAUAAAUCGUCAAUCCUCGGCAAUGGGUACUUGUUCUUCACUGUGACCUUAUUCAACUCGCGGUAGUCCACGCAGAGUCGAAGUGUGCCAUCUUUCUUUUUAACAAAUAGCACCGGAGCUCCCCACGGUGACACGCUUGGCCUCACGAAGCCUUUGUCGAGCAAGUCUUGCAACUGUGCCUUAAGCUCUUUUAGCUCCGCGGGUGCCAUUCUAUACGGGGCCUUCGAAAUUGGAGCCGCCCCGGGUACCAAGUCAAUAAUGAACUCGAUUUCCCAGUCCGGUGGCAAACCCGGUAACUCCACCGAAAAUACGUCCGGAAACUCACACGCCACCCGAAUACCACUAAGUUCCGAGCGCUCCUUCGGGGCUUCUACCACUGUCGCCAAAUAGGUUUCACAACCACCUCUUAUCAUUUUCCUCGCCCGUGCCACCAACACGGUCGCCGCGAAGAGCGAGCUUUUAGCUGCCCGAUACACUAGCUCCUCUCGAUUAGGCUCACGAAACGUGAUUACCUUACUUUCGAAAUCUAUCACAGCAUAAUACUUGGAGAGCCAGUUGGUCCCCAAGAUCACGUCGAAACCCCACAUUCGAUUCAACACCAACAGGUCGAUCGGCAUAACCCAAUCACCUAUCUGCACUGGGCACGCUACACACUCUUCGUGAAUAUGGAAAGUAUGCUAGACCGAAUUCACCGUCCAAUAGUCAUAAUGAUGCACAAUCUUAAUGCCAUGAGCCCUAGCGAAUGAUGCAUCUAUGAAUGAAUGUGAUGCACUAGUGUUGAAGAAAGCUCUAGCUCUAGUGCCUCUGAUUGAGAUAAUACCUGCCACGAUGUCGUCGGAAACAGGAAUCGGCUCCUCUUCCACCUGAGUGCAAAAACCCGUCCACUCGGUGCUCUCGAUGCCUCCGGCUGACGCGAUGAAGACAAGCGUCCAGCCGAUAUAGCCGGCGGUAAUCCCGCCUGCUGCCUCGGGGUAUAAGGGACUGAUGCCGAGGUCGAUGCAGAUGAACUCCAGCUAGGGCACUCUCGUGACACAUGCCCAGGUUGGCCACACUUAAAGCAUUUUCCCUCCCGCUGCGGGCACGACGGCGGUUGAUGGUUGCCGCCGCAAAUAACACAACGGGAUGGUCUCCAACCCCUCGACUGCUGUCAGGGAUACCGAGGGGGUUUCUUAGCAUUUGGCCGGCCCUCGGUACCACCCGCUGUCCGCUUCUUGCUCUUCUCCCUUGCCUCGGCUGCGGACUCACGCUCCUCGCGCUCAUGGGCAUAACCAUGCUCCGCCGACAAAGCCCGAUCAAAGACCUCCGCAAAGGUCGUGAGCUUGAGGAUCUGCACGGCCCUAUGAAUCCCUGGCCGCAAUCCUCGUAGGAACCAGUCCGCUCGGUCCCGGUCAUCCCUGACAACAUCCGGAACGCAGUGAAUGAGGUGGGAGAACUCCUGCUCGUAGUCUGCCACCGAGCGAUCCUCUUGCCUCAACUUGCGGAAUUUCUCUUGCAACUUCCGCUUCACCGUAUCGGGGAAGUAGUUGGCGAACACCGCCCUCCGAAACUCCUCCCACAACAUAGGCGGAAGAUCGGGCGACCGAUCUCGCCUAACAAGCUUCCACCACACCUUCGCCGCCUUCUCAAGGCAAUGUGUGGCGAGGUACACCUUGUCCUUCUCCAAGGUGUUAAGGUCCUCGUAAAGUGUCUCUAUGGAGUCGAUCCAGGACUCCACCACCGCCGGUUCCACCACUCCCCCUUCGAAGGUAGGUGGGUUGAACUUCUGAAACUGAAUGAGAGCCGCCAACGCGCGCUCCCGCUCCGCCUCCUCCGCCGCACUAUCGGGGUUUGAGGUCCCCGAUCCUGCCGGCACCAUCGUAACUGGCACGACCGCCGCGACCACACCCUCGGCCGCACUCGGCACCACUGCAGGAGGCGCAGAGUGCACGGCCUCCACGGGCGCCGCCGCCACCUGCUGCCGCUCCAAGGCCUCCUGGAGCCUUUGGAUUUGCUCCCCUUGGUGCUGAAUGGAUUCCGCCUGCUGCCGCACUAUGCCAAUAAGCGCGGCCAUCUGCUCCCGAAGCUCCCGGUCGCCACCUGCUCCGGGUUGCACGGGAGCCGUACUUGACUCCUGGGCCAUAGAUCUCGUCCGCGGUCGACCACGAGGUAGCUUAGGUCGUCCACGAGGCGGCAUUGCUUCAUGAAACGAAGCAACUCACGUUAGUUACUUAGACAGUAUACUCGAUUAUACCCAAUUCGGCGAAAGCAUAUAAGUGCAUUUAUUUUCAUUCCAAAGCGUUUUGUCGUCGGCCGCCGAUCACAACACAAGGAAAAGCAAACGAAUAACAACUUAAGUUCAGUCCCUAACCACAUUAGAGACAUAAUUACAUCGAUCCAAUCCAUGCCUUCGCUAAAACUUAUUCAGUGUCGCUCACGUUUCCUAGAUCCUUAAGGUUCUCCAUUCCUAAGGGUCUCUAGGUCCAUCCUAUGCUUUCACUUUCUGGCUCUUUACGCUCGGAUACCAUCUUAUCUGUCAUGCCCCGAGCCCGAUCCUUUUGGCCGGUUCGAGAGUGUCGAACAGACGCCGAACGGACAGAACCUCCCCUGACCGCUCAAGGCUCAACAACAAGUAUCAAUAGAAUAUAAAGUUUGCAUAAGCGGAAGCAUACACAAUGGCUUGCACGAGGGCAAGCAAUAGCCAUUAGUGAAAGAAUCUACUAAAUCAUCAUACAAGUAUUUGACUAGAUUUAAAUCACAUACAUGCAUUCGACUUUAAUACAACUUUGCAUUAUUUCUUUUAUACAUCACAAGUUCUUCAAAAUAUGAUUCUUUUUCCAUUUACAUAAAUAAAGUCUUCUACAUCAUUCCUUUAACAUGAUCACAAUAUUAACAUCAUCAAGUACAAAAGAUGAUAAUAAGGGGUAUGCAACUAUGAAAAUAAAACAUCUCGGGCGGUCUCUACCUAGGGCGUGAUGCACUUACCGCGAUCGCCUGCCUGCUCGCUCGGUCCUGGCUCUGUGGAAAGAGUGGGUGUGAGAACUACAACAAAGUUUCCAGUGGGUUCGGCAACCAACCACGCCGACUAUCCCACUAGGUCUAAUCAGGCAUAAUAGAAUAGAAGAAAUAAAGUAACCAACUAACAAUGCAACUAAUAUGCCUGAACAAUAUAAAAUGCGAUGCUCGAAAUAAUGCUCAUGAUGAAUGCAAGAUCAUAAUUUCUUUACACAAUCUCUUGGCUAACCUGUAGGUUUCGCCUUCAACAAACUCACCACCCAAAAUCCUAUCAACCAGGGAGAUACCCGCCACAACCCGAUAGGACCGUUCUCUUGGGAGAUACCCGCUACAACCCAGUGAUGUCGAUUCCGGAGCACAUCGCCCGAGGGAGAGCUACCACCCUUGAGCAAGGACUAAAGGUGAGUACGAUGAAUCCUACAUUGAGGAUUCCAAGUUCAAUCCAUUCCUUAACUUUAAAGAAGACCAUGCUCAAUGACCCUUAACUCUAAGGUUGCAAUGUCAUAAUAUCUCAAUCAUUCUUUUCUUUGCAUUCUUUACCAACACUAGUGUCAUAUACACUACCAAGUUCUUGUACUCAUGCCACACUUGUUUUCUAAGUGCUAUGUUCUUGUUCUCAUGCCAAAUGUCACACUUAUUUUUCUAAGUGUUCUAGACUCAUCAAUAUCACUCGCAAGAUCUAUGUCCAUGUGUCACUUUUGUUCACUAAUCCUUCUAGGUUCUUGUCACUUGUCAUGCAUAAAUAGGGUUAUAAUUCUCACAUUCUUACAAGUAUUUUAUACGUAAUUAAACUCACGAUCAUGCAAUAAAAACUCACAAUUAACCCUACUAUGCAACAUGCUCAAUAUAUACAUAUAUGUUCAAACAUGACACUUUAGACAUAAAGAGAUUUUCGAGGUCCUUGGAAUGCACCACCCACCUCGAGUGGUCGCGUAGGUGUAGAAUACGACGACUCCCGAACUUUACGAAAGCCGAUUCCGCGUCCUAUAACCAAAAUAGUGCCAUAUUAGGCCUUUCGUACAUGAACCAUACUUAAACAUUUUCGUAACGUUAAACGGAGGUGUCCAACGCGUCGUGGACACCCCUAAUUAGGUUUCUACGGGGUCAAUUCGCCCCUCAAAAAUUCUAGGGCAAAAGUCCCAAAUUUGGUACCCUAACCAAACCCAUUGUUAAACCCUAGGUUUUGAUCUCUAAAACAAGCAAAAGAGAGCUUGUCUAACCUCUAGGUGCUCAUCUAAGGUCAACCAAGCCAUUUCUAGGGCAUUCAAGAUGAACCCUAGAAGUUCACCAUGAGAGGAUCUUGGGCUUCCAUGGAUUUUUAUGGAGCUCAAGCCUCAAGAGGUGCUCUAAUCAUCGAAGAAGCUCCAAAACCUAAGUUUUCUUGGGAGAAAUCCAAACCCUAGAGCUCUACAUGCUAAAACAACUUACCUUGGCCCAAGUUCUAGCAAGCUCCUUCUUGUUGGAGAGCUUCUAGACCCACCAAGUCCACCAAAAAUCCCUCCUCAAGCUUCUUCUUCUUCUUCUCCUUCAAGCCCUAGGUGAUUUCUAGAGAGAGAGAGGAGAGAGGAAAUAAGAGGGAGAAGUGUGUGUGUGUGAAUGGCUGUAGAGGGAGAGGGGGUUGGGUAUAUAAGGUGUUGUAACAUUUUCAACAAGACCCCUCCACUUUAUUCCCUGUGCACUGCCCAAACUGGGCAUUUUUCGCAGUAAGGGACCGGUCUCCCUGACCUGUGACCGGUCCCCAAGAGCUCCUCCCGCGGACUACGCAGGCUGCGCACGAUGCAAUCGGUCUCCCUCGAUGAGACCGGUCUCUGGGGGACCGGUCUCUGCUCGUAAGGACCGGUUCCCGAGAGCUGAUUUUUCAGGACUUAGCCGAUUUCUCAGCCACCUCGCUGCCUACGCGUUCGGGGACCGGUCUCUCCCAACAGGGACCGGUCCCCGAGAGCACAAAACCUGCAGUUUGCAGAUUUUGAUUUCCAAAGCUCUCGAAGAUCCCCAGUAAUGUAUUUUAGCAUUAUUUGACGCCUUCGGCCUCUCCGAAGUGUACCAACCUCGCCCUUUGGUCAAUUUGACCAAGGUUCGAAUUUAAUCACCGAGAUUUCGGUAUGUUACAGUUGGGGUAUACUGGUGAUGUAGGGCUCACUCCCUCUCAUUUCUCUCAAUUGCAACCACCCAACAAACACUCUCUUUCUCUCUAGAAGCUCUCCCUCUCUCUAGAAGUGGAAUCAAGAGGAGGAUAAGGUGGAGAUUGGAGCUUGAAGGAGGACCACCAUUGUUAUCUUCUUCCUUAGCUUGGAGAAGGAGCUUAGUAGAGGUAAGCUCUUUGCCUUCUCAUGGUAGAAUGCUUGGAUUAGGGUUUUAUACUGUAGAAAUGGAAUCUAA
rnacentral:lncRNA from 1 species